UGAGAGAGAGAGAAGAAGAAGAAGGGAGAAGAAGAAGGAGAAGAAGAGAGGGAGGUUGGUUCUGUUUGUUUUUUCCAUAAUUUUUUUUUUCUUUUUUUUGUUGUUGUUAUUCUUUGUUUUCAAGAAUUUU
rnacentral:ribozyme from 13 species